GGCCCUACGGGGCGCAGCAGGCGCGAAAACUUUACAAUGCGGGAAACCGUGAUAAGGGAACUCCGAGUGUCCGUAAAUGCGGACUGUCCGUAUGUUUAAAAAGCAUGCGAAGAAAGGGCCGGGCAAGACCGSUGCCAGCCGCCGCGGUAAUACCGGCGGCU
rnacentral:rRNA from 1 species